rnacentral:rRNA from 1 species
CCCUUAGAUGUUCUGGGCCGCACGCGCGUUACACUGAUGCAUUCAACGAGUUCUUCCUUGGCCGAGAGGCCUGGGCAAUCUUUUGAACGUGCAUCGUGAUAGGGAUAGAUUAUUGCAAUUAUUAAUCUUGAACGAGGAAUUCCUAGUAAACGCAGUUCAUCAAACUGCAUUGAUUACGUCCCUGCCCUUUGUACACACCGCCCGUCGCUCCUACCGAUUUCGAGUGGUUCGGUGAACCUUUCGGACCGGCAAUGCCUCGUGUUGCGCCGGAAAGUCAAGUAAACCAUAUCACUUAGAGGAAGUAAAAGUCGUAACA